rnacentral:rRNA from 1 species
UCUGGUCUUGGGACACUGUCAGGUGGGCAGUUUGACUGGGGCGGUCGCCUCCCAAAAGGUAACGGAGGCGCUCAAAGGUUCUCUCAGUACGGUCGGAAAUCGUACGUAGAGUGUAAAGGCAAAAAAGCGCCUGAUUGCAAGACAUACAGGGCGAGCAAGGAUGAAAAUCGGACUUAGUGAUCCGGUGGUUCUGCGUGGAAGGGCCAUCGCUCAACGGAUAAAAGCUACCCUGGGGAUAACAGGCUUAUCU